ensembl:lncRNA
GUAAUCUUCAGUUGCGGGCAUUUUCUCCUGGGGUUCAGAGGGGAAAGCACAUUUCCACGAACAAUGUAUCAUCGAAGAGAUAUGUGAAAAACACCUUGAGGAUUGGUUCUAAACAACGUUUGCCAUGUUUCAGUCGAUAUUAUGGAGUUAAUUUGGAAAAAAGUUCGACGUUUAGAUGACUGAAUUUUCUGUUUUUUUUGGUAGCCAAACGUGACGCACCAAACGGAGCGAUUUCUCCUAAACAAAUAUUAUUUUUGGAAAAACUGAACAUUUGCUAUCUAACAGAGUCUCCUCAUUGAAAACAUCUGAAGUUCUUCAAAGGUACAAGGCCAUCCUUGAUGGGCAUCAGAAGACGGGGCAGGGGAGAAGGAAGUGGGACUCCAUCAUGGAGGAGGUCCUCUCUGGUGAUCAUCACUACACACCGACAACGUACAGCACACAACACUAAUUACACUGUCACUCAACCCCGCACUGCACAGACACCCCACACAUCAUGCUACAGUAACACCGACACCCUCUCACCCUCUCCCUCUACUUCAACACAUUAUAACCCUCAUGCCAACACCACUCCCUGCACUCAACCCAAAAGGAAGACCAAAAGAGAUGCUCUUGCGGUAAAACUGGACAAUAUACUUGCACUUCCGAAAACAAACACUUCAAGCACAGGGUAAGAUGAACGAUAUUCUGAGAUUGGGUAUGUAAUUUUAGGCGAAAAUUGAAAACAAGUGUCCGAUCCUGAAUUUCAGAGAACAAUAGCCUGAAUCUAUUUAUGUAUUUAUUGUUUAAUUGUACACUAAUAAAAAAAUUAUCCUGAGAUUUUCCUUGAUUCUAUUUUUAACCAAAAUCUGCCCAUUGUUCCAAGGCCGUCAUUGAAAAUAAGAAUUAACUGACUUGCCUAGUUAAGUAAAGGUCAAAUAAAAAUAUAUAAAAUAAAAAAAACUGAAUACUGUUAUAACUAACUGCCAUGGCUAUUGUGAUUGGUUAAUUGUACACUAACAAGUAAUUAUCCUGAGAUUUUAAUUGAUUGUAUGUUUAACUGAAAUCGUUAAUAACUAAUUGUUUUGGAACAUGCUUUAUUCAAAUGGAAAGGUACAUAACUUGUUAAAUACUUUUUUUGAUUAAACGUGGUUAUGUUCUACAUUCAUUUUGGCAGGUGGGUGUAUGUGUU